rnacentral:tRNA from 1 species
GGGGUUGUGAUUCAGUGUUAGAGCUACACAGAAGAUUCCGGGUUCGAUCCCCAGCAUCUCCA